AAUGCUGUGCUGAGUAUAUUACUACCUUAAAAAAACAAGCAGAAACUCAAGGUAGUUUUAAGGUAGUAAUAUAACCACUCGGCACAGCAUUUUCACAUUGGUA